GAUGAACGCUAGCUACAGGCUUAACACAUGCAAGUCGAGGGGAAACGAUAGAGAAAGCUUGCUUUUUCUGGGCGUCGACCGGCGCACGGGUGAGUAACGCGUAUCCAACCUGCCCAUCACUUGGGGAUAACCUUGCGAAAGUAAGACUAAUACCCAAUGAUAUCUCUAGAAGACAUCUGAAGGAGAUUAAAGAUUUAUCGGUGAUGGAUGGGGAUGCGUCUGAUUAGCUUGUUGGCGGGGUAACGGCCCACCAAGGCGACGAUCAGUAGGGGUUCCGAGAGGAAGGUCCCCCACAUUGGAACUGAGACACGGUCCAAACUCCUACGGGAGGCAGCAGUGAGGAAUAUUGGUCAAUGGGCGAGAGCUUGAACCAGCCAAGUAGCGUGCAGGAUGACGGCCCUAUGGGUUGUAAACUGCUUUUAUAAGGGAAUAAAGUGAGUCUCGUGAGGCUUUUUGCAUGUACCUUAUGAAUAAGGACCGGCUAAUUCCGUGCCAGCCGCCGCGGUAA
rnacentral:rRNA from 1 species